ACUGAAGUUGUUGCUCUGUUACCGGUGUUUUUUUGUAGUUCUAAACUUUCGAGAUAAAUAUAUUUUUUUAAAACUAUUUGAGCUAGUUCAGUUAUAUUACGGCAUAUUAGUUAUUUCUUGAGACGUUACAUAAAGAUAACAUCUAUUUUUGGACAACGCCGCGUGAUUACCAAACUAGUCGAAACACAAAUUAUAAAAAAUAUGACGAUUCUGUAAUAGAAAUGGCACUACAUGAGUACAAUAGCUCUAACCUUUCCUUUAAAGAUGUUUCACGGAAAUACGAUAUACCGAAAUCAGUCCUGCAUCGACACAACACCCGUGUCAUGAAAAAGCAAGGAGGCCAAACUGCCCUAAGACGGGCUGAAGAAGCGUACUUAGUAGAGUACGUAAAUGUAUGUUCAGAAUGGGGAUAUCCUCUAGAACCCAUUGAUUUAAGAUUCCUAAUAAAACAAUACCUGGAUAAAAUGGGAGUUGAUAUCAAAAGGUUCAAAAAUAAUUUGCCAGGUCCCGAUUUUAUGUCAUGUUUUCUUAAAAGGCAUAAAAAUAAAAUUAGCAAAAGACUCAGUCAAAAUACAAAGAGAGCAAAGAGCAGCCGUUUCACCAGAAACCAUCGAUGAAUAUUUUAGAAAACUUGAAACGUCUCUUCGAGGCACACCACCUGCUAACAUUGUUAAUUACGAUGAGACCAACCUCAGCGAUGACCCAGGAUGUUAGAGUGCUGGUUAAGAGAACAGUCAAAUACCCUGAAAGGGUAAUGAACCAUAUAAAGGGUGCCACAUCUCUUAUGAUGACUUCUGCAGCCGACGGCACUCUUCUACCCCCAUACGUUGUAUAUAAAUUGCAAAAUAUGUACGAUACGUGGCGGUUAUAAUAAAAUUGGAUCUAAAAUUUUUAUGGGUGAUAACCUGGCCUCUUAUUUAUACUUAAUAUAAUAAUUAAUAUGUUAUUACUUUAAGUAUAGUAUGUUGAUUAAAAAAAGAUUUUAAUACUUCUAUAAUGUUGAUUAUUACAGUGAUUUUAUAUUUUUGAA